UCCCUUUCGCUGUAUGGCGUGCUCGUUUUGGUUGGGUGUCGGCUAAGAGUGCUCGGAGCGUGGAUUAACUCCAGUCUCCUAUCAGGUGUGUAUUUCUUACUAUAGCUGUAGGAUGGCUACUUCGGGCCGCGAUGGGCCGAAAGGGGUCAUGUGGGCCUAAGGGGCCUAUGGGCCCAACUGGAUAAGUUGUUUGAUUGUGUAGUAAAUAUUGGGCUAGGCUAGGUGAAUCUAAUAUUUGUGGCUAGAUUUGGGCUAAAAGGGCCACACGAGCGUGUAGGCCCAUUUGCGCCGAGAAUAGGCUUUAGGGCCAUUAGUAUCGUUAUCCAUAUUUAAAAUACUUUAGUAUACCAAUUAUUGUAAUACCCUCGACUUGUAAAAUUACCAAAGUACCCCCGAUUUACAUAAUUACCGUUUUACCCUCGAUUUACAGAAUUACCGUUUUCCCCUCGAUUUAUAGAAUUCCUAUUUUACCCUUGAUUUACAGAAUUAAUGUUUUACCCUCGAUUUACAAAAUUACUAAAAUACCCUUGGUUUACAAAAUUACCAAAAUACCCUCGAUCAGUAAAAUUACCAAAAUACCCUAGUUUGUAAAAUUGCUAAAAUACCCCUAGUUUGUAAAAUUACCAAAAUACCCCUAGUUUGUAAAAUUACCAAAAUACCAUUGGUUUGUGAAAUUACCGAAAUACCCUGAAUUUGUAAAAUUACCAAAAUACCCCUGAUUUACAAAAUUAUAGAAAUACCCUUGACUUUCUAAAAAUUAUAGAAAUACCAUUGGUUUACAAAAUUACUGAAAUACCCUUGGUUUGUAGAUUUACCAAAACACCCUUGUAGGGUGAAAUGACUAAAAUACCCCUAUUAGGUAAAAAGACCGUAAAUCCCCUGUAAGGUAAAGUGACCGUAGAGCCCCUUUAGGGUAAAGUGACCGUAAUACCCCUGUAUGGUAAAAUGACGAAUAUGCCCUUAUGUUCCGUAUGACUGAUGCGCUUAGGAUUUACAUAUAUUGAUAUUGGGUUAGUUAAGUUUGAGUGACAGGUGGUGGUUAUCGUAGGCGAUUGAUUGUGGAAACGUUUCAACUUCAACCCGUAAUAGUGUGUACUAACCCUCGUAAUAGCUUAGAUUAAUAUUUGCUGAGAAGCCGAAAUGCUAAAAAACCGGUAUUUCGGGAACUUGUAAUGUUGCGUUUGGGUAUAGAUGCGAUAAAUACGAUAAGAUCAGUGUUUGGAUCGAUGGAACAUGUAAGAACACAAUUUUAUGCACGAUGGUAAGUUGGGCCUCAAUGGGCUAGAAUCGGGCCAAUGGGCUUUGGGCCCAUUUGGGUAAAACUGAUAGAGAAUGAAAUUUGGAAAAGUUGCAUGUUAACACGGCUAGUACUGUUGUAAAAUUUGGAUUAUGUGGGCUUAAUGGGCAAAAUCGGCAUCCGUAGGGCCCAUUAGAGGUUUUGGGCCCAAAAGCCCGAGUUUGAUAAAGUGGGUUAAAGAUCAUUGUUUAAACACUCAGAAAUAUAGAUAAUUGUUCAUGAAUAUGGAAAACCCUGAUAUUUGGUAAAUUUACGAAAUUACCCUUAUAAUGUGAAAAAUGAUUAUUUUGCCCUUGUAGGCAAGUGACUGACUUGGACUGUGUGGUUGACGGAUUUGAUUGUGAAUAUAUGUUGGUGAUAUGAAUGACUUGACUGUGAUUGUUUGAUUCAAAUAUGGGCAUGACAUUCUGCAUACAUGACAUGCUACAUGGGUUGGGUUUUGUAAAUGGAGGAAGUGCUAAAAGGGUUAUGCCCCAGUUUACCGAAAAGGGCUUUGCCCCAGUUUAUCAAAAGGGCUUUGCCCCAGUUAUUAAAAGAGGCUAGGCCUCUAGAUAUAUGAUAAAGCAGCUAUGCUGCCAGUGGUGUGUUGGUUGGGUGGGUUGAAUCAUUCCCCACAUGGUGUGUUGGUUGGUACGGGUGGAGAGUAGCGGAUGGUGGGUCGAGUAGUCUCCCCAAAUGGGCUUGCAUACAUCCAUUGACAUUACAUGUGAUAUUGAAAUGGGCCUAAGGGCCAUACCGUUUACAGUAAAGGCUUCGGCCCAGUGAUAUGAUUUAUGAAAAGGCUUCGGCCCAGAUAUAUGAUUUAUGGUAAGGAUUCGGCCCAGUGAUAUGAUUUAUGAUAAGGCUUCGGCCCAGUGAUAUGAUUUAUGAAAAGGCUUCGACCCAGUAACCGUUAAACGAAAGGCUUCAGCCUAGUAUAUGCCAAGACGAAAUAGGCCUUUGGCCCAGAUUGUACUGACACUACGUUUUCACUGUUUGUUUGUUAUUGGGAUUACACACUGUGUUUUCGUAAAAUCACGCCGUUUCUAACUGUACAGGUAAUCCCUAAGCUUAGAUGGUUUGGAGCUACGAGGGACUCGGAGAUGGCCACACUACGGUUUCUGGUUCUUUAAAUUGCAAUAAGUAGCCGAUUUAUUUCUUUAUAAGUUUUAUCUUAUUAAUAUUAUUAUUUGGUUUUGGGUUGUAAUAAGGCCAUUUUAAUUAGUUUUCUGGGAUUAUUUUAUUUUAUACCCUAUAUUUUUUUGAUAACAAUAUGAGUUAGACCUAGGGCCCAUUUCCAAAAUGAUAAUUGUUUUCAAAAUAAACGCAACAAUACAAUUAAUCGGUUUAUCAAAAAUAUCGACUUAAAUGAAUUGCAACGUGUUUUUUUUUCAAAACUAACCUAGCACCAAAGUGUGGCAAUGGUUGUGGGCAUGUCUAGGAUUGGAUCCAAUCAAGAGCAUUGGUACUUAAGCAGCCUUCAUGGCUCACCUCCUCUGUUUCGGAUACCUACCUGAUGCACAGCUUCCAUUCACUUUAUUAACUUAGCUAAGACUAUCUUUUAAAACACUAAGAAGGACGUUGAAAGAGGCAUUGGUUUUCUUAAAAACUUCAAUGUGACACGCUGGAUCCGACCAUAAUGUCUGGGCCGGGUUUGGGGUGUUACAUUUAGUGGUAUCAGAGUCAGGUUACAAAACUCGGCUGUGGUAUGGAUAGCAGAAAAUUAUUGUUAUUUUUUUCUUUUCUGUUCUUUUUUUUAAAUUAGGGUUUGAAAAGGGUUUUUGUAAAAUUUUGUUUUGAAAUCUCUCAACGAAACUUGACUUGUUUCUAAAAAGAUGUUACUGGAGGUGUGGCACACCGAGUCUCCGGCACCAAAUCUGUAAGUUCUCUAUCUUUGUUUACUGUUAUAGAUUGAAAUGCUAUAUUGAGAAACUACUAUAGAUAGUAGCACAAUACUGGAACUCUCUAGUUAGAGUAAAUUGUAACGCUUGAAUUUAGAUUUAGUAUUUACUUGGUGUGCGUUCUAGAAAUGUAGAAAUUGUUUGCAUGUGAAAUCUAUCCACUCCGAUGAAUAAAUGUUUUGGGUGUAUGUUAGUAUUAUUAGUAUAAGAGUGCGCAGCGGAAAUGUGGUGGUGUAGUGUGAGAGUGAAAAAUUUCGAGGACGAAAUUUCUUUAAGGGGGUAGAAUUGUAACAACCCGAAUUUGGGCCUAGAAGUACUGGGCCUUGAGUGCUGGUCCGUAAGGAGGUUGUAUAUAGGUAUUUAAUUGUGCAAUGAAAUAACACAAUUAAAUGUCUGCUUUGGUGGUUAAUGGCCCUGAGAAGUGUUAGAGAAAUCUUGGGUUCAAACUUGGGCUUUAGCAAAAAUUUUGGUAUUAAGAGGAAAAAAAAAACCUAGAUGCUUGGAUGAGGGCUUUUAAAUUAUUGUAUUAAAUAAAUGACACAAGGAAGCUUGUAGUCUAGUGGUUGUGGAGUCAUUAAGGUUGUAUGGGAGCCUGGGUUCAAGCCUGGGCUCUUACAAUUUAUUUUGGUUUUUUUUAAGGGAACCUAGACUUUGGCUUAGUGGCAAGUAGCGUGUGGAGCAUUUGAGGGGAGGCAUGGGUUCGAAUCCCAUGGCAAGCAAGGAGCAUUUAUUUUGCUAACAGGGGGCGGCAAGAGUUGGUGUUGAAUUUAAACUCUGAUGUUGGAAGGAUCCCACAUCGGGAAGCAAACAUAAGAGAGGAUGCGAAGCUGGCUUUAAAUAGAGAGAAUUAUGAGGAGAGUAGAGGUACCUUUCUUGGCUGAUCCCUUUCGCUGUAUGGCGUGCUCGUUUUGGUUGGGUGUCGGCUAAGAGUGCUCGGAGCGUGGAUUAACUCCAGUCUCCUAUCAGAUGUGUAUUUCUUACUACUCUAGCUGCAGGAUGGCUACUUCGGGCCGCGAUGGGCCGAAAGGGGUCAUGUGGGCCUAAUGGGCCUAUGGGCCCAACUGGAUAAGUUGUUUGAUUGUGUAGUAAAUAUUGGGCUAGGCUAGGUGAAUCUAAUAUUUGUGGCUAGAUUUGGGCUAAAAGGGCCACACGAGCGUGUAGGCCCAUUUGGACCGAGAAUGGGCUUUAGGGCCAUUAGUAUUGUUAUACAUAUUUAAAAUACUUUAGUUUACCAAUUAUUAUAAUACCCUUGACUUGUAAAAUUACCAAAGUACCCCCGAUUUACAUAAUUACCGUUUUAUCCUCGAUUUACAAAAUUACCGUUUUACCCUCGAUUUAUAGAAUUACUAUUUUACCCUUGAUUUAUAGAAUUACUGUUUUACCCUCGAUUUACAAAAUUACUAAAAUACCCUUGGUUUACAAAAUUACCAAAAUACCCUUGAUCAGUAAAAUUACAAAAAUACCCUAGUUUGUAAAAUUGCUAAAAUACCCCUGGUUUGUAAAAUUACCAAAAUACCCCUAGUUUGUAAAAUUACCAAAAUACCACUGGUUUGUGAAAUUACCGAAAUACCCUCAAUUUGUAAAAUUACCAAAAUACCCCUGAUUUACAAAAUUAUAGAAAUACCCUUGACUUUCUAAAAAUUAUAGAAAUACCAUUGGUUUACAAAAUUACUAAAAUACCCUUGGUUUGUAGAUUUACCAAAACACCCUUGUAGGGUGAAAUGACUAAAAUACCCUUAUUAGGUAAAAAGACCGUAAAUCCCCUGUAGGGUAAAGUGACCGUAAAGCCCCUGCAGGGUAAAGUGACCGUAAUACCCCUGUAUGGUAAAAUGACGAAUAUGCCCUUAUGUUCCGUAUGACUGAUGUGCUUAGGAUUUACAUAUAUUGAUAUUGGAUUAGUUAAGUUUGAGUGACAGGUGGUGGUUAUCGUAGGCGAUUGAUUUUGGAAACGUAUCAACUUCAACUCGUAACAGAUGUGUACUAACCCUCGUAAUAGCUUAGAUUAAUAUUUGCUGAGAAGCCGAAAUGCUAAAAAAUGAUAUUUUGGGAACUUGUAAUGUUGCUUUUGGGUAUAGAUGCGAUAAAUACGAUAAGAUCGGUGUUUGGAUCGAUGGAACAUGUAAGAACUCAAUUUUGUGCACGAUGGUAAGUUGGGCCUCAAUGGGCUAGAAUCGGGCCUAAUGGGCUUUGGGCCCAUUUGGGUAAAACUGAUAGAAAAUGAAAUCUGGAAAUGUUGCAUGUUAACACGGCUAGUACUGUUGUAAAAUUUGGAUUAUGUAGGCUUAAUGGGCUAAAUCGGCAUCCGUAGGGCCCAUUAGAGGUUUUGGGCCCAAAAGCCCGAGUUUGAUAAAGUUGGUUAAAGAUCAUUAUUUAAACACUCAGAAAUAUAGAUAAUUGUUGAUGAACAUGGAAAACCCUGAUAUUUGGUAAAAUUACGAAAUUACCCUUAUAAUGUGAAAAAUGAUUGUUUUGCCCUUGUGGGCAAGUGACUGACUUGGACUGUGUGGUUGACGGAUUUGAUUGUGAAUAUAUGUUGGUGAUAUGAAUGACUUGACUGUGAUUGUUUGAUUCAAAUAUGGGCAUGACAUUCUGCAUACAUGACAUGCUGCAUGGGUUGGGUUUUGUAAAUGGAGGAAGUGCUAAAAGUGUUAUGCCCCAGUUUACCGAAAAGGGCUUUGCCCCAGUUUAUCAAAAGGGCUUUGCCCCAGUUAUUAAAAGAGGCUAGGCCUCUAGAUAUAUGAUAAAGCAGCUAUGCUGCCAGUGGUGUGUUGGUUGGGUGGGUUGAAUCAUUCCCCACAUGGUGUGUUGGUUGGUACGGGUGGAGAGUAGCGGAUGGUGGGUCGAGUAGUCUCCCCAAAUGGGCUUGCAUACAUCCAUUGACAUUACAUGUGAUAUUGAAAUGGGCCUAAGGGCCAUACAGUUUACAGUAAAGGCUUUGGCCCAGUAAUAUGAUUUAUGAAAAGGCUUCGGCCCAGAGAUAUGAUUUAUGAUAAGGCUUCGGCCCAGUGAUAUGAUUUAUGAUAAGGCUUCGGCCCAGUGAUAUGAUUUAUGAUAAGGCUUUGGCCCAGUAAUAUGAUUUAUGAAAAGGCUUCGACCCAGUAACCGUUAAACGAAAGGCUUCGGCCUAGUAUAUGCCAAGACUAAAUAGGGCUUUGGCCCAGAUUGUACUGACACUGUGUUUUCAUUGUUUGUUUGUUAUUGGGAUUACACACUGAGUUUUCGUAAACUCACGCCGUUUGUAACUGUACAGGUAAUCCCUAAGCUUAGAUUGUUUGGAGCUGCGAGGGACUCGGAGAUGGCCACACUACUAUUUUUGGUUCUUUAAAUUACAAUAAGUAGCCGAUUUAUUUCUUUUUAAGUUUUAUCUUAUUAAUAUUAUUAUUUGGUUUUGGGUUGUAAUAAGGCCAUUUUAAUUAUUUUUCUAGGA
rnacentral:lncRNA from 1 species